UGGUUCUGAGUUUUCCAGCAAAAUCUCUGAAACUCGUUGGUUUGUUGUGUUCUCCAGAGAAGACACAGUCCACAAGCCUUCCAUGCUCUCUACGCCGUAGAAUUCAAUUCAGAAAUUGAAGCCCAGAAGUGAUAUAAUCAUCCAUUGUACAGUGGCCACGACUAUCGAGCGUUCUCCUUCAUCAUCAGAAGCCAAGAAGACGAGUGAACAAUGAAUUUGCUGCCAAGCGGAGGCGGCGGAGGGGCCUCUCUGUGCUCUUCUGAUCGGUGCGCUCUGAAAUUCACUCACCCAAUUCCUCCCCUCUUCUCUAACCGCCGCCCCGGGCGUUGUAAUUGCAACCCGACUCAAAGGCCGCAAACUCAGUCCAAGCUCCCCACUCUUGCUGCCGCUAACCCGGGAGCUUCUCGGCCCUCUGCUGCCACCGUCACACCGCCCAGUUCAACUAUAGGCUCUCACUUCAAUGCCGCCGGUGAUGAUGUAAUCUCUCUGAUCACCCAAGAUAGGGUUCCUCCUGAAGGUGUAAUCCAAUUCCAGAACCCCAAUUCUUCUUCUCGCAUUGGCAAAUGGAGUAAAGUGGCAUUGUUAGCUGGAGGGGAUGUAGUGGCUUUGCUGUUGUUCUCAGCAAUUGGAAGGUUCACUCAGGGAUUGCCGGUCUUCCACUCAGAGACAUUGCGAACAGCUGACCCUUUUACUGCUGGCUGGUUUUUUAGUGCAUAUUUUCUUGGGGGAUAUGCAGAGGAUGGUCUAGGAAUGAAUGGUCUGUUCAAGGGGUUUAUUGCCGCAACAAAGACUUGGUCUUUGGGUAUCCCAUUGGGCUUAAUUAUUAGGACAACAACAGACGGCCACAUACCGUCAGCCAACAUUAUCACAGCUACCAUGAGGAGCACUGCUGUAUUACUUAUUGGAUGGAGAACACUAUUGCUGAGUUCUUUACCAGAUGGGAGGGGUUGAAAAUGAUGCUAAUAAGCGUUGUAACCCAUUAAGCGUUGUAACCCAUUGCACUUUUUGAGGUUUUGACAUCACUUGUGGGAGUAUGAUAAUUGUUGCAACACAAGUGAGCUUUACUAUACAUACUAUUUGAAGGCAAUUUUCAUGAUGCAAGAGAUAUUGGCAUUUCUUAAAUUGCCACUAUCUUAGUACUCAAUCAGCUAUGGCUAUCUCCUUGUCUGCAUUUCAAUACAUCCUAAUGACGGCACUAUGCAACAUUCUGGUGGAAUUUCCCAAAUGCUUCAGCCGUAAUUCCUCCCGGCGAUGAGUAUAAGAUCGAUGUGCCUGAUUACUCAGACGGUUUGCCUGCUAAAUGUGGGAAGUAACAAUCACCAACCCACAAUAACUCUUUUUGCUCUAUACUUAUCAAAGUCUUCAGCAAUAGACUUCAAUAAAAUGACCUUAGAUUACUUGAGAACUUCUAGUCACAUAUAUCAGAUUUUCAGUGUCCAAAAACUUAUAUAUCAGAAUAAUAGAUAUAUACGGAGUAUUUUUAAUUUUCCUUGGGCACACUUUAACUGAUGAUACAAAUCCUUUCUUGAGCAUCCUA